rnacentral:rRNA from 1 species
UACGGAGGGUGCAAGCGUUAUCCGGAUUCACUGGGUUUAAAGGGUGCGUAGGUGGGUUGGUAAGUCAGUGGUGAAAUCUCCGUGCUUAACAUGGAAGCUGCCAUUGAUACUAUUGAUCUUGAAUGUUGUGGAGGUGAGCGGAAUAUGUCAUGUAGCGGUGAAAUGCUUAGAUAUGACAUAGAACACCAAUUGCGAAGGCAGCUCACUACACAAAGAUUGACACUGAGGCACGAAAGCGUGGGGAUCAAACAGG